ACACACACACACACACACACACACACACACACACACACACAGAGCUUGUUUUGUUUUGUUGCACUUUGCUUUGCUGUGCUUCGCAGAUAUGGCAUUUUUUACAAGUGGAAGGUUUGUGGCAACUCUGUGUCAAGCAAGUCUAUCAGCACCAUUUUCCAAAAUAUUUGCUCACUUCAUGUCUUUCUGUCACAUUUGGUCAUUCUCGGGAUACUGCAAACGUUUUCAUUGUUAUUAUAUUUGUAACAGUGAUCUGUGGUCAGGGAUCUUUGCUGUUACUAUUGCAAAAGGAUUAUGACUCACUGGAGGCUCAGAUGAUGGUUGGCAAUUUUUAGAAAUAAAGGGCUUUAAAAUAAAGAUAGGCUAGAGUUCCCAUCGUGGCUCAGCGGAAAUGAAUCUGACUAGUAUCCAUGAGGACACAGGUUCAAUUCCUGGCCUCAUUCGGUGGGUUAAGAAUCUGGCAUUGCCAAGAGCUGUGGUAUGAGUCACAGAUGUACCUUGGAUCUAGCAGUGCUGUGGCUGAGGUGUAGGCUGGCAGCUAGAGCUCCGAUUUGACCCCUAGCUUGGAAAGCUCCAUGUGUCAAGGGUGCAGCCCUAAAAAAAAAAAAAAAAAAAAAAGGUAGGUACAUUAUUUUUAAGACAUACUGCUAUUACAUACUGAACUGACUAGGGGAUAGUGGAAACAUAACUUAUUUGGGGCCUUGCCCAUGGCUCGUGGAAGUUCCUGGGCCAGGGAUUGCCUGUGCCACGCAGUGACCCAAGCUGCUGCAGUGACAAUGUUGGAUCCUCCUUAACCCCUCUUGAGCCACCAGAGACCUCCCCCCAUCCUUUUUUUUUUUUUGGCCAGGAAACAUAAUGUUUGUUUGUGUUAGGAAACCAAAAGCAUCGUGUGACUCACUUUAUUGGGAUAUUUGCUUUAUGGCCAUGGGAUGAGCCCACAGUGUCUCCAAGGUCUGCCUGCAUGUGAUGUUCUGUGUGCCUGGCACUGUUCAGGACACCAGGGAACAACCCAGCAGAGGGCCAAACAGAGGUCUCUCCUCUCUCAUAGAGCUUGAAUUCUGGUAGGGGAGAGACACAGACAAUAAACAUAAAUCAGUUACUCGUAUGGACUUUUAGAAAGUGAUAUAUGUUGGCGUUCCCAUUGUGGCUCAGUGGGUUAAGGACUUGAUGUCGUCUCUGUGAGGAUGUGGGUUCGAUCCCUGGCCUCGCUCGGUGGGUUAAGAAUCUGGCAUUGACAUAAGCUGCAGCAUAUGUUGCAGAUGUGGCCUUGAUCUGGCGUUGCUGUGGCUGUGGUGUAGGCCUCAGCUGUAGCUCCAAUUCAGCCCCCUCACCCUAAAACUUCUAUAUGCCGCAGGUGUGGCUAUAAAAAAACAUAAAGAAAAAAGAAGAAGGUAAUACAUGUCGUGAAGGAGUGCUGGUGAGGCGUGUGGACAUUUGUUACAUAUUUUUCCUUGGUCUUUAUUUCCUUGGUCUUUACCUGGCAUCUGUAGGGCAAUGAAGCCUUAAUAUAGAGGGAGAGAAAAUGGGAGAACUUUCCACAGGACAGAGACAGAGAAAGCGGUCAAGCUUUGUUGUUUUGUGUGCACCUUGAGACUUCAUGCUGGGAUUCCAGGAGCAAAAGGAAGACAAGACACGUGAUGUAAACAGCCCUCCUGUUGUAGAAAUAGAGAAUGUGAGAUGGGGGGCGGAGUCAGUGCCUGGGUGAGAGCCCAUUUUUUUCGUGCUCCAUUCCAGUUUUGUAAGCACAAACGUCGGCAAGUUAAAAAGCUAAAGGGGAUACAAAAAACCAAAUGGGUGCAAACCACAGCCAGAGACAGAGGAGGCAGGAUGAGGCUGAGCUGCUGCCAGGCCCCGGGAGGCGGCGUGUGGCCAGCAGCGGGAGGGGUCCAUGCUACAAGCAGAUCUCGUUGAACUUGGUAUUGUUCCACAGCAAACAGAAGCCCAGAGCUUGUUGGCAGUGGAGCCCCAUACCGAGCAUAGAGAGGGCAGAGCAGCUGUGGGGAGCUGGGCUCAAGGAAGCAAACACAGGGAGGAGGCCAGCUUUAGGGCCGUACAAUCUGGGGCUCCCUGGAGAGCUGGGCUGGUAUUAAUAUUCACCAGGUGCCCCAGCAACCUGUCAUGGGUAGGGAGAGGGGAACAUAGCUGCAGGAUGUGCAGCUCACAUCCAAAUGUGGCAUGAUCCUGGGAGGUCAGAAGGGGGCUCUGCCCAGUGAGUACAUGGCACCGUCCCCAGGGCACAGUUGCUGGCCACAGACAGUCACUAGCUCCAUGCUGACAACAUUAGCCAGCACUUAUUGAGGACUUGCUUGUUCAACAUAAUGCACACUGAACAUUAUAGGGAUUAUCUUACACUCACCACCAAUCAGUCUAUCAAUUACGACUGACGUGGUUACAAGUGACCAAAAAUCAAACCCCAAAUGAUGAGAAGCAGAAAGGGAAUUUGUCAACUCAUGCGACUGAAAAAUCCAGGCGUUUCUAGCUUCAGGCAUGGCUGGAUCCAGGAACUUAAACAAUGUUCUUGGGCCCAGUCUUGACUCUUGCUUUUCAUGCUCAGAUAGGUAGUCGUGAUGGCAAAAGGGCUGCAACCACUCAGUCCUGCAUUCUUUCAACAUGACGUCCAACAGAACUUCCCAUCCUCAAAGUUCCAGUAAGUGACAUGGCUUCUCAUCAGCUCGAAUGGGCAUCACAUGCCCAUCCUUGAAAAGAUUACUGUGGCUGCAGGGCUUUGUCUUCUUCCUACCUGCUUCUCCGGAGUGUGGGGUGGACUCUCAAUCAUCAUGAGUUGGAAUGGGUGCUCAAAUGAAAACAGGUACAUGGAGGCAGCUGGGUAAAAAUUAAAAUGUCCAUCCUUUGAUGCUAGAAUCACCUCUAUUUUGCAGGUGGGGAAAUUGAGGCUUGGAAAGAUGGUGGCACUUGUUCCCACGAGUCAGUGGUGGAGCUGGGACAGCAGCAACCCAGCAGCAUCAUCUGUCCACUUUCGAUUCAUCUCCUCUCUGAACAACAGCCUCACCUCCUGCUGCUUGUCCCUAUCCCCUCCCUCUUUCCUGAUAUGUCCUUGGAGCGGCCAAGUCUCUCCAGGCCCCCCCCAACCCGGGCAAACGUUAGGGUCGCCCUGAAGACAGCAGGAGUUGUCACAAGGCCAUGGGCCCAUCAAUCUCGUCAGCUUCCGAGGACCAUUCCCAAGGCAAAGGGUCAUUGAUACCAUCAUCUCUAUCUCCUUUAAUGCUAAUUACUUUUUUUCCCAUGUCAACAUAAAAAUCAUCUUAAAUGUCCUCAUUAAAGCAGAUGUGAUUUCUGACCACAGAAUCAUCAACUCAGCCUGGGAAAGACUUUCAGGGGAGAAAAUGUUCUCCGAGCCCCAAAUGGCAAUGCUGAGUGAUUUAGAAUAUCAAGUUUGUAUGAUUUUUAAUCAUUAAAGGAGAUGUAAAAACAUAUUUUAUACACAAUCUUUUAUCUUACACUUAUUUUUAUAUUUCUCUAUAACAAUUUAUUGCGAUGCAUAGAUCACCAUUACAUCAGACAUUUAUGGCUCCAUUAAAAUUCAAUGCCACCAUAAAUUUGGGCCGGUUAAAGUGGUGACAUUUGUAACAGCUUCCACAAGGACAUAUUUUAUAUUUAAAGUGAAACUUUGAGAAGAAACUUUUGUUAAAGAAAAAAAAAAUCCUUGUAGGGUAGGAGAGGGAUAUGAGAUUUUUCUGCUGUCUAAAACACGUAAUGCCUUCCCUAAUACCUCCUGUAUUAAGAAGCCAGACUUUUGCUAAAUACUAGGUGUGCUAUUUCUAGUAUUUAGGGAUUAACGGGAAUCAUAUGAUAAUACUAUCAUUGACUAGAAAUACUUGGCUCUGCCCAAUCCUUUGGUAGCCUGAGCCCUGGGAGAAUUUUAGAAGUAAGGGAAAAUAUUAAAUCAGACUUUCAAACAAUGCAGUGUCCAUAUAAUGAAAGAUUUUCUGAUUUGGGGGCAUGAGGGUCUUCAGAGAGUGAUAAAAUAUGGGGCUAAUGAUUUUCCAUCAUUUGGUCCAAGAUGGUGAGUUCCUCUACUGGAAAAUUUAGAGUCCGUGUGCCUCUCUUUCUCUCUCUGUCUCUCCAAUCCAUCAGAAGGUAUUAGAGCAGCUUUUGUGAGUCUUAUAGUUUUAUACAUGACUUGCAAAGUAAGUGGGGAGAUAGUUCUUGUUCUGAAGGAACCUUCUAUACUGGGAUGCCCUCGAGGAAAGACUUUUGCAUCCUCAGGAGCCAGAAGAGCAUCUGACACAAGGUGGAUAUCCAUUAACACCCUUCAUUCAGCUCAUUGGGGCUGUUGGACAAAGUGUCCACAAGGACAACUCUGGGAGAUUACGUGCCCAAUGAGGCAUGACUGGGGGUCUAAUUGUACAAAGAAUGGAUAUCCCAUAUGACUUCAGAGAAAGAGGAGUCGAGGAGGGCUGUGCAAGCUUGAGAAGGGCUCACGGAAGAAGAGGCAUCAGGUGGGUACCCUUUGACCUUCCAGAAGUAGCAUAACAGGUGGUCUAGACUGGAAGUAGCAAGUGGGCUGAGUAAGAGCAACUUCAAGAGCCUCUCUGGAACUUCCUGUUGCAGAGCAGUGGAAACGAAUCCGACUAGGAACCAUGAGGUUGGGGGUUCGAUCCCUGGGCUCGCUCAGUGGGUUAAGGAUCUGGCAUUGAGGUGAGCUGUGGUGUAGGUCGCAGACGUGGCUCAGAUCCUGCAUUGCUGUGGCUGUGGCAUAGGCCUAUGGCUACAGCUCUGAUUCAACCCCUAGCCUGGGAACUUCCAUGUGCCAUGGGUGAGGCCCUAAAAAAAAAAAAAGGAAAAAAAAAA
rnacentral:lncRNA from 1 species